GAUGAAGAACGUAGCGAAAUGCGAUACUUGGUGUGAAUUGCAGAAUCCCGUGAACCAUCGAGUCUUUGAACGCAAGUUGCGCCCGAAGCCACUAGGCCGAGGGCACGCCUGCCUGGGCGUCACACGUCGUUGCCCCCCCAUCUACUCCUUCGGGAUUGCGGGGGGCGGAUGAUGGCCUCCCGUGCGCCUCGUCGCGCGGUUGGCAUAAAUGCCAAGUCCUCGGCGACGCACGCCACGACAAUCGGUGGUUGCGAAACCUCGGUUGCCCGUCGUGUGCGGUCGUCGCGCAUCGAGGGCUCGAAAAAAUUGCCGGGUUCCGGCUCGGCUUUCAACGCGACCCCAGGUCAGGCGGGGUUACCCGCUGAAUUUAAGCAUAUCAAUAAGCGGAGGA
rnacentral:misc_RNA from 1 species